rnacentral:rRNA from 1 species
AGCGAACGCUGGCGGCAGGCCUAACACAUGCAAGUCGAACGAACUCUUCGGAGUUAGUGGCGGACGGGUGAGUAACACGUGGGAACGUGCCUUUUGGUUCGGAAUAACUCAGGGAAACUUGUGCUAAUACCGAAUGUGCCCUUCGGGGGAAAGAUUUAUCGCCAUUAGAGCGGCCCGCGUCUGAUUAGCUAGUUGGUGAGGUAACGGCUCACCAAGGCGACGAUCAGUAGCUGGUCUGAGAGGAUGACCAGCACACUGGGACUGAGACACGGCCCAGACUCCUACGGGAGGCAGCAGUGGGGAAUCUUGCGCAAUGGGCGAAAGCCUGACGCAGCCAUGCCGCGUGAAUGAUGAAGGUCUUAGGAUUGUAAAAUUCUUUCACCGGGGACGAUAAUGACGGUACCCGGAGAAGAAGCCCCGGCUAACUUCGUG